rnacentral:rRNA from 12 species
CGAAAAGGGCGUUUGGUGAAUGCCUUGGCAGUAAGAGGCGAUGAAAGACGUGAUACUCUGCGAUAAGCCAUGGGGAGCUGAGAAUAAGCUUUGAUCCAUGGAUUUCUGAAUGGGGCAACCCACCUCGC